rnacentral:ncRNA from 1 species
CUAUGGUUUAAAGUUAAAUCAUGGCGGAAGGAG